CCUACGGGGGGCUGCAGUGAGGAAUAUUGGUCAAUGGACGAGAGUCUGAACCAGCCAAGUAGCGUGAAGGAUGACUGCCCUAUGGGUUGUAAACUUCUUUUAUAUGGGAAUAAAACGUUCCACGUGUGGGAUUUUGUAUGUACCAUAUGUAUAAGGAUCGGCUAACUCAGUGCCAGCAGCCGCGGUAAUACGGAGGAUCCGAGCGGUAUUCGGAUUUAUUGGGUUUAAAGGGAGCGUAGGUGGAUUGUUAAGUCAGUUGUGAAAGUUUGCGGCUCAACCGUAAAAUUGCAGUUGAGACUGGCAGUCUUGAGUACAGUAGAGGUGGGCGGAAUUCGUGGUGUAGCGGUGAAAUGCUUAGAUAUCACGAAGAACUCCGAUGGCGAAGGCAGUUCACUGGACUGCAACUGACACUGAGGCUCGAAAGUGUGGGUAUCAAACAGGAUUAGAUACCCGGGUAGUC
rnacentral:rRNA from 1 species